CCUACGGGUUGCACCAGUGGGGAAUAUUGCACAAUGGGCGCAAGCCUGAUGCAGCCAUGCCGCGUGUGUGAAGAAGGCCUUAGGGUUGUAAAGCACUUUCAGCGAGGAGGAAGGGUUCAGUGUUAAUAGCACUGUGCAUUGACGUUACUCACAGAAGAGGCACCGGCUAACUCCGUGCCAGCAGCCGCGGUAAUACGGAGGGUGCAAGCGUUAAUCGGAAUUACUGGGCGUAAAGCGCACGCAGGUGGUUUGUUAAGUCAGAUGUGAAAUCCCCGAGCUUAACUUGGGAACAGCAUUUGAAACUGGCAAGCUAGAGUCUUGUAGAGGGGGGUAGAAUUCCAGGUGUAGCGGUGAAAUGCGUAGAGAUCUGGAGGAAUACCGGUGGCGAAGGCGGCCCCCUGGACAAAGACUGACGCUCAGGUGCGAAAGCGUGGGGAGCAAACAGGAUUAGAUACCCCGGUAGUC
rnacentral:rRNA from 1 species